GUAAGUCUUGACGGAUCAUAUUCUAUUUUAAAUUUAUAGCAAACAAAUUAACUUCCUAGUUAUAAUUGUUUAUUUACUGUGAAUAUUUCCUGAUGAAAGCACUGGGUCGAUACAUCUGCCGGUGGACUAUCAAUCUCCGAGUGAAUCAUCAGCUCUAAUUUCGGCUCUCCAUAGCGCAGUAGCGGCUCGAUGGAUAUUGUUGCUGAUAAAUUUGAUGAACAUCUAACAAAGAACUUUGCUUAAGUCGAUGCUGCUCGGGACUGAUAUAAACUUAUAAUAGUUGUGAGUAUAUUCUCCAUGUUGAAGUCAUAUUUGUCACUUUGAGACAUAAAAUAACUCCGAUAAAAGAAAGAUGCUUUUGGUUUUGGAUUUUUGAAAUGCGUGUUGGAAUUUUGUGGCAUGAAUAUAUGCAUUUUACAUUUGUAACAGUUUGUGUCAUGACACAAGCCAUGAAAUAACCAGUCCCUUCCUUACUUACAGCACACACGUGUAAAUUGUAACAGAAUCUGCCGAUCCUCGUGAUGCAUUUGAGAUGAACGUUUUUUUUUUGCAAUUUGUUUCGUAUGUAUUUUUUUUUUCUUCGUUGAUCAAUGUUUAAAACUGCUCGGAUUACUCACAAAAUGUCUAUGUUUUUGACAAA